rnacentral:rRNA from 1 species
CCUCGGGAGGCAGCAGUGGGGAAUAUUGGACAAUGGGGGAAACCCUGAUCCAGCGACGCCGCGUGAGUGAAGAAGUAUUUCGGUAUGUAAAGCUCUAUCAGCAGGGAAGAAAAUGACGGUACCUGACUAAGAAGCCCCGGCUAACUACGUGCCAGCAGCCGCGGUAAUACGUAGGGGGCAAGCGUCAUCCGGAUUUACUGGGUGUAAAGAGAGCGUAGACGGCGCGGCAAGUCUGAAGUGAAAGGCAGGGGCUUAACCCCUGAACUGCUUUGGAAACUGCCAUGCUAGAGUGCUGGAGAGGUAAG